GCGAAGAACCUUACCUACUCUUGACAUCCAGAGAACUUUCCAGAGAUGGAUUGGUGCCUUCGGGAACUYUGAGACAGGUGCUGCAUGGCUGUCGUCAGCUCGUGUUGUGAAAUGUUGGGUUAAGUCCCGCAACGAGCGCAACCCUUAUCCUUGUUUGCCAGCGAGUAAUGUCGGGAACUCCAGGGAGACUGCCGGUGAUAAACCGGAGGAAGGUGGGGACGACGUCAAGUCAUCAUGGCCCUUACGAGUAGGGCUACACACGUGCUACAAUGGCGCAUACAGAGGGCGGCCAACUUGCGAAAGUGAGCGAAUCCCAAAAAGUGCGUCGUAGUCCGGAUUGGAGUCUGCAACUCGACUCCAUGAAGUCGGAAUCGC
rnacentral:rRNA from 1 species